CUGCUCCAUCCGGGAAUUUUCGAAUUAGCAUUGACAGCCGAAGCGCAACUUUUCCCCAGGCAAAGUGAAAUCAAGCCGCUCACUCGGACAAAAUAUAGUCCCCACUAUUCAACUAAAAAUGAUCAAAAGAAAAAUAAAUCGACCGUUUGGAGAGGAUGCGUCGACGCGGCGUUAUUUUUAGAGUGGAUCUGUCCAGGUGCUGAAACCUUUCCCCCGUGUUUAGAGCACUUUGCUCAGCGGCGUAAAGUGAGUGAUGAGCCCUCUACACAGCAAAGAAGCAAGAACUUGCUUUGCAGCCUGAGUAGUUCUUCUUUCGAUUGUUAUUUGUCGGCUUUAACAAAAAAAACAUUUUAAUUCACUUAAACUUCACAUUGAUUACAUCGAAAGUGGUACAAAAGUGUUUUUGAAAGUCGGAACAUGGAACUACAAUGCCUGCAAGAGGCGUUGAAAGUCGAGAUUCAAAGUCAUCAGAAACUAGUUGCACAGAUGAAGCAAGACCCGCAGGAUGGAGAGCUUAAGAAACAACGACACGAAAGACACAACAGAAUAACAGCCCUAAGCGAAAAACAAGUAAGAAAACCCCCCCAAAAAGCAUAUGUAUUGCUUUAUUAUACACUGACGUUGGCUAUAAUCAUCAUUCAUGUCACGGCAAUAGUCUUGUAUUGUGUGAGACCGUUAUGUUCAGGACAAUGUGCUUGUUUUUAAAAAAAAAAUAAGGUUUCAAAGUAAAAGGCAUUGAUUUAGUCUUUGUGUUGUAG